rnacentral:rRNA from 1 species
GCAGAGCACUCCUAGGGAGGCAGCAGUGGGGAAUAUUGCACAAUGGGCGCAAGCCUGAUGCAGCCAUGCCGCGUGUAUGAAGAAGGCCUUCGGGUUGUAAAGUAUUUCAGCAGUGAGGAAGGUGGGUAUGUUAAUAGCAUACUCAUUUGACGUUAGCUGCAGAAGAAGCACCGGCUAACUCCGUGCCAGCAGCCGCGGUAAUACGGAGGGUGCGAGCGUUAAUCGGAAUUACUGGGCGUAAAGCGCAUGCAGGUGGUUUGUUAAGUCAGAUGUGAAAGCCCGGGGCUCAACCUCGGAAUUGCAUUUGAAACUGGCAAACUAGAGUACUGUAGAGGGGGUAGAAUUUCAGGUGUAGCGGUGAAAUGCGUAGAGAUCUGAAGGAAUACCGGUGGCGAAGGCGGCCCCCUGGACAGAUACUGACACUCAGAUGCGAAAGCGUGGGGAGCAAACAGGAUUAGAUACCCUGGUAG